CCAAACAACUAGUUUUAAUUUAAAACGAACAGUUAGUAUUUUAACUAUUUAUAAGCACGGAGCAACACAACAACGGUGAAAAUUGUGGAGUAACAUAGCUGCCUUUGUACACCAGGCGCCCCGCCGGGAGGGAGGAAGCUGUCGGGAGAGUCAUGCUGCUCCGUGUGGUACCCGCCCCGCGCUCCGUGCCUCCAGCCCCAGGCUGCUUCGUGGGGCGCCCCGCCGGGAGGGAGGUAGCCGCCACCAGGAGGGACCCGCUGCUCCGUGCUUCCGCGGAUCCGGUCGCCUCCGCUGCUCCGUGCCUCGAGUCCACGGAUCCGGUUGCCUCCACUGCUCCGUGCCUCACGGUUAGGGUUUAGGGUUCGGCCGCCUCCAGUCCUCCAGUUGGUCCCGCGGUCUCAUGCACCGCACAUCCUCGGCGGCGGCCUGCUUCUUCGACGGCGCGAUUAGCACGGAUUCACGCAUGUCGCGGGCGAGCGGCUCCUCCGAUGGAGGACAAGGAUGGCCCAUGUAUGGUCCGGUGUCGCUCAUUCGGUGCCCCAAAUGUGAAAGGUCGGAGUCACUUGUUAGACUCAGAUCGAAGAGAUGGGAGAACGAGAAUUUUGGUCGAGAGAUCGUGAAGUGUGAAAGCAGUAUGUCCUUAUUUGCCCAUUACGGUUGAUUUCAUUUUUGUGCUUACUGCUGAAUUGUGGAACUUUAUUUGGAUUGUUUAGGUUCUUAAAUUAUGCAAUUUUUUA